rnacentral:rRNA from 1 species
UACGGAGGGGGCUAGCGUUGUUCGGAAUUACUGGGCGUAAAGCGCGCGUAGGCGGGCUGGUUAGUUGGGGGUGAAAUCCCAGGGCUUAACCCUGGAACUGCCCUCAAUACUGCCAGUCUUGAGUUCGAGAGAGGUAAGUGGAAUUCCUAGUGUAGAGGUGAAAUUCGUAGAUAUUAGGAAGAACACCAGUGGCGAAGGCGGCUUACUGGCUCGAUACUGACGCUGAGGCGCGAAAGCGUGGGGAGCAAACAGGAUUAGAUACCCGCGUA